ACCACAGGUAAACUUAUUUCCUUUUAUUUUGUCAUUUUCUUCCGUUCUUAUAUCCUACCUCCCUCCCUCUUUCACUCUGUAACUCAGGGUUCUGGGAAAUCGACUUCGAAAUUAGAUAGAAGAUUUCUCACUGUAAUCAUUGUCGAAUUGCUAAUUUUACAAAGAUUCGUCACUGUAAUCCUCAUAUUUUCCUCUAUUUUUAGGUCCACUGAAACAGAAGGAGCAUGGUGAGCUAAAUGGAGGAGAAAUGUAGAUUAGCAAAUGAGACGGUGGAGGCUCUUGUUUGUUUUGGGUCAUUUUGUGAUUUCUAGUAAUAUUGAAUCUGUGUCUAUGGAUUUUAAUUUUAUGUAUUUGUGUCAUUAAAAACACUAAAUUAAUUAGUGAACAACUAUUUGUAAUGCAUGUGUCCUAUGGGCACUAAUAUUGUAAUAUUACUCUUUUAAGUCAAUGAAAAUCUUUUGUUAUUGA